CUUGUUGGUGGACCACUCUCUCGUUGGUAAUAGACAUGUACUGUUACCUGAGAAAAACAGUAACUGAAAAGGAGAAAGGAUCGGAUAACCCAAAUCAGGAAUCUUCAGAGUGCAGAUGAUGCAGUUUUUGUGAAUGAGGUAAGAUCUGCCUCUUGUAAGACCUCUUUCAAGAAUUUAACCCAGGGUUUACACCCAAGUUAGAUCUCAAGCAUAGCAAAGGAAUCGUACAACCUGUGAAUUCAGUUUAAUUACUGAGAUCAAGGAUGAUGAAACAUUCAUUAUGAUUAUACAGAGCUACAAAGAGUUAUGUUGAGAAUCCAAAUUAUCAUAAUGAAUUGAGAC
rnacentral:lncRNA from 1 species